rnacentral:lncRNA from 1 species
CCGGCUCUGCCCCUUCCAGCGCGUCACCCAGAGACCCAAAAACGGCGGCGCCGAGACCAACCUGGGGUCAGGGCACCCCAAAACACCCCAAAAACACCCCAAACACCCCAAAAAUACCCCAAAAACCCCCAAAACACCCCAAAAAUAUCCACAAAAUACCCCAAAAACCCCCAAAACCACCUCAAAAACCCCCAAAAUCUCACCAAAAACACCCAAAAAAACCCAAAUCCCCCCCAAAACCACCCUGGGGACGCCUGGGGACAGCCCCUGGUGUCACCUGACCCCCCAUGACGUCACCCGACCCCCAUGAUGUCACCUGACCCCGUGACGUCACCUGACCCCGUGACGUCACCUGUGCUCACCUGGCCCCUCCCCCACAGGCUCUGGGGCUCCUGGGCGGGGCCCGAAGGCGACAAAUUCGGGGCCCAAAAAUACGAGGGGGGCACGGGGUGCUGGCAGGGACCCAACAGAGCCACCACGGUGCGGCUCAGGUGUGGCCGGGACACGGCGGUGACGGCGGCGUCGGAGCCGAGCCGCUGCGAGUACCUGCUGGAGCUGGAGACACCUGCGGCCUGCAGGGAGCCCGAAACACCUGGGCACGAGGAGCACGACGAGCUCUGAGCCCCAAAAUGUCCCAAAAUAUCCCAAAUUAUCCCCAAAAAAUAUCCCCAAAUUAUCCCCAAAAACAUCCCCAAAAUAUUCCCAAAAUAUCCCCAAAAAAUAUCCCAAAAUAUCCCCAAAUCCCUGCAGGGAGCCCGACACACCUGGGCACGAGGAGCACGACGAGCUCUGAGCCCCAAAAUGUCCCCAAAUGUCCCCAAAAUCAUCCCCAAAAACAUCCCCAAAAUAUCCCAAAUUAUCCCCAAAAUAUCCCAAAAUAUCCCCAAAUCCCUGCAGGGAGCCCGAAACACCUGGGCACGAGGAGCACGAUGAGCUCUGAGCCCCAAAAUGUCCCCAAAAUAUCCCCAAAAUGUCCCAAAUUAUCCCCAAAAUAUCCCCAAAAUAUCCCCAAAUCCCUGCAGGGAGCCCGACACACCUGGGCACGAGGAGCACGACGAGCUCUGAGCCCCAAAAUGUCCCAAAAUAUCCCCAAAAUAUCCCAAAUUAUCCCCAAAAAAUAUCCCAAAAUAUCCCCAAAUCCCUGCAGGGAGCCCGACACACCUGGGCACGAGGAGCACGACGAGCUCUGA